GAUGAAGAACGCAGCGAAAUGCGAUAAGUAGUGUGAAUUGCAGAAUUCAGUGAAUCAUCGAAUCUUUGAACGCACAUUGCGCCCUUUGGUAUUCCUUAGGGCAUGCCUGUUCGAGCGUCAUUUACACCCUCAAGCCUAGCUUGGUGUUGGGCGCCUGUCCCGCCGUUUUCGCGCGCGGACUCGCCUCAAAGUCAUUGGCGGCGGUCGUGCCGGCCCCCUCGCGCAGCACAUUUGCGCUUCUCGGAGGCCCGGCGGAUCCGCGCUCCAGCAAGACCUUUCACGACUUGACCUCGGAUCAGGUAGGGAUACCCGCUGAACUUAAGCAUAUCAAUAAGCGGAGGA
rnacentral:misc_RNA from 1 species